GAUGAACGCUGGCGGCGUGCCUAAUACAUGCAAGUCGAGCGAACGGACGAGAAGCUUGCUUUUCUGAUGUUAGCGGCGGACGGGUGGGUAACACGUGGAUAACCUACCUAUAAGACUGGGAUAACUUCGGGAAACCGGAGCUAAUACCGGAUAAUAUUUUGAACCGCAUGGUUCAUAAGUGAAAGACGGUCUUGCUGUCACUUAUAGAUGGAUCCGCGCUGCAUUAGCUAGUUGGUAAGGUAACGGCUUACCAAGGCAACGAUGCAUAGCCGACCUGAGAGGAUGAUCGGCCACACUGGAACUGAGACACGGUCCAGACUCCUACGGGAGGCAGCAGUAGGGAAUCUUCCGCAAUGGGCGAAAGCCUGACGGAGCAACGCCGCGUGAGUGAUGAAGGUCUUCGGAUCGUAAAACUCUGUUAUUAGGGAAGAACAUAUGUGUAAGUAACUGUGCACAUCUUGACGGUACCUAAUCAGAAAGCCACGGCUAACUACGUG
rnacentral:rRNA from 1 species